AAGGUGGGGAUGACGUCAAGUCCGCAUGCUCCUUACGUCUAGGGCUACACACGUCCUACAAUGGGGUCGACAGUGGGAUGCAAGCCGCGAGGUGGAGCCAAUCCCAAACGGACCUCUCAGUUCGGAUAGUAGUCUGCAACUCGACUACUUGAAGUCGGAAUCGCUAGUAAUGGCGGAUCAGCAUGCCGCCGUGAAUACGUUCCCGGGUCUU
rnacentral:rRNA from 1 species